GGGUUGUGAGGUUAAGCGACUAAGCGUACACGGUGGAUGCCCUGGCAGUCAGAGGCGAUGAAGGGCGUGCUAAUCUGCGAUAAGCGCCGGUAAGGUGAUAUGAACCGUUAUAACCGGCGAUACCCGAAUGGGGAAACCCAGUGUGACUCGUCACACUAUCAUUAACUGAAUCCAUAGGUUAAUGAGGCGAACCGGGGGAACUGAAACAUCUAAGUACCCCGAGGAAAAGAAAUCAACCGAGAUUCCCCCAGUAGCGGCGAGCGAACGGGGAGGAGCCCAGAGCCUGAAUCAGCAUGUGUGUUAGUGGAAGCGUCUGGAAAGGCGCGCGAUACAGGGUGACAGCCCCGUACACAAAAGCGCAUGUGCUGUGAGCUCGAUGAGUAGGGCGGGACACGUGGUAUCCUGUCUGAAUAUGGGGGGACCAUCCUCCAAGGCUAAAUACUCCUGACUGACCGAUAGUGAACCAGUACCGUGAGGGAAAGGCGAAAAGAACCCCGGCGAGGGGAGUGAAAAAGAACCUGAAACCGUGUACGUACAAGCAGUGGGAGCCCCACCACCAAAGCGUUUCGCUUUGUGUGGUGCACAAAGAAGCGUAACGACAGCACUGAAUGACGGUUAACGGAGCGCAAGCGACGUUCAACAUACAAAGUCAAGCAGUGGAGCGCUUUGGGGUGGGGUGACUGCGUACC
rnacentral:rRNA from 1 species